UACAGAGGGGGCAAGCGUUGUCCGGAUUUACUGGGCGUAAAGAGCGCGCAGGCGGUCGUUCAAGUCGCGUGUGAAAGCCCCCCGGCUCAACUGGGGAGGGUCACGCGAUACUGAUCGACUCGAAGGCAGGAGAGGGUAGUGGAAUUCCCGGUGUAGUGGUGAAAUGCGUAGAUAUCGGGAGGAACACCAGUGGCGAAGGCGACUACCUGGCCUGUUCUUGACGCUGAGGCGCGAAAGCUAGGGGAGCAAACGGGG
rnacentral:rRNA from 1 species